rnacentral:rRNA from 1 species
UACGUAGGGGGCAAGCGUUAUCCGGAUUUAUUGGGCGUAAAGAGCUCGUAGGCGGCCGUUCGCGUCGGAUGUGAAAGCUCAGGGCUCAACUCUGAGACGCCAUUCGAUACGGGACGGCUAGAGGUAGGUAGGGGAGAGUGGAAUUCCUGGUGUAGCGGUGAAAUGCGCAGAUAUCAGGAGGAACACCGGUGGCGAAGGCGGCUCUCUGGGCCUUACCUGACGCUGAGGAGCGAAAGCAUGGGGAGCGAACAGG